CCCUUAGAUGUUCUGGGCUGCACGCGCGCUACACUGAUGCAUCCAACAAGUUUUCUCCCUUGUUCGGUAGGACUGGGUAGUCUUUUGAGUAUGCAUCGUGAUGGGGAUAGAUUAUUGCAAUUAUUAAUCUUCAACGAGGAAUUCCUAGUAAGCGCGAGUCAUCAGCUUGUGUUGAUUACGUCCCUGCCCUUUGUACACACCGCCCGUCGCUACUACCGAUUGAAUGGUUUAGUGAGACCCUCGGAUUCGUCCCAGCACAGUGGGUUUCUGCUGAGCUGGUGCGCGGAGAAGACGGUCGAACUUGAUCAUUUAGAGGAAGUAAAAGUCGUAACA
rnacentral:rRNA from 1 species